rnacentral:rRNA from 1 species
UACAGAGGUCCCGAGCGUUGUUCGGAUUCAUUGGGCGUAAAGGGCGCAUAGGCGGUACUUCAAGUCAGGCGUGAAAGCCCCGGGCUCAACCUGGGAAUGGCAGUGGAAACUAGGGGACUGGAAUCUGGCAGAGGGGGGUGGAAUGCCGCGUGUAGCAGUGAAAUGCGUAGAGAUGCGGCGGAACACCGAUGGCGAAGGCAGCCCCCUGGGCUGAGAUUGACGCUCAGGCACGAAAGCGUGGGGAGCAAACAGG